CACCAUCAUUACCACCACCACCACCACCACCACCACCACCAAGGCAGCACGCAGACACGGUCCGCGGCAGGCGUAUACUGUAUUCAUGGCGUCUCCCCGCCUCUGUGGCAAUGUGCGAGCCUGCAAGGGAAGUCCUCUUCCUCACGCCGUUCCGGAAGACCGAGCUAGCGCCGGGAAGUAUCUACAGGUAACACGGGCGACGCGAAGCUGCACUCGCACGAUACAGCCCCGGUUGCAGCACCGAAUGUCGCUACGCACCCCUAGAAACAGCCGCAGCUCGGCGUCAGCGACCACCUCCAUUCGACAGGGACCACGAGACGGCGUCGCCGUCUCUCUUCGGUCAGAAGCUCAAGCGUUACUCAAGACCACGGAACCUGAGGCGUCCAGGUUCCUGCCGCCUAAGCGCAAUAAAAAGUCCGUUCUGAAUCCUGAAUAUAACAUCUAGUGCGCGAUGUCACGACAUCGUGUUGUGACCCGGAGUACAAACGCAGCAGAUUCAGCAGGUAUAUAGCUUCCGAAAACCAUAGGGUAAGCACCGAUUUCGUAGCCGAGUGUUUAGGACACUUGGCCCGUGUCGGCACAUCCGUGGUUUCUAACCGCGGGUGGAAAUUGUGGUAUCACGACCCAGGUUGGCCUGUGGAAUCAGGUCAGGGCCGGAACCCGGCUCCGCACCCCAGAGAGCAACCAUUCGGGUGCGGCGGAUGCUUUCAAUAGCCAAGGUAGGUAAUCUCAGCGGAGCUGUGGGGGCUCGACCCCCGUGGCUAAAGGCUAUUGGAAAGUGAGGGUUCGCCACAAUUUUGCUUUUUUUUCUUUAAUAACUCUUGUAGGGGUGAUUGGGUUUGGCAAACUGUCAUUAAAACAUUUCUGGUGAUCUGAUAAAAAUAUAUCGUUCUUGUUUCACCAGCUUCUAUUCCUCAACAACAACAAGGACGAAUGUGGCAUCAACGACAACACCAACAACAACAAUAAUUCUUGGACAAUCCCCCAUAGUGGGUAUGCGCCAUUGUUUGGCAGACGAAACGAGACGAGACAAUCCUCACAGGAUGGUUCGAAAUCCUCGGCCAGGCUUCCAAGCCUCUUGUCUUAUAUCCGAAAGCGGAUUGGCCACACUUUAACUGCUUGUAGUGUUUGGUUUCUUAUAUAGGUGCGUUUUUUUUUUCAGGGACGGUGAAUGACAAUAUCUGGUCCCGGCCAGGGUUCGUUCUGGUCGGCUGGUCGUCCCACUGAGUUGUUGCCCCUGCAGUGUUUUCUUCGCAACGCAGUCAACUCCUUGCCCGUGGCGAUGGUUCCCAAAGAUGGUGGAUUCAUUCGGUUGACCGCAUCAGAAGGUUUCCAGGAGGAGCUGCGCGGUAUAACCGAACACUUCAUUGACAUCUCGGAGCCCGCUGAGCUUGCGUCUGUGAUGGGCGUAGUGCGCGACACGGUGCGGUGGUUGGAGAGGACAAGAACCAGACAAGCAGUGCGCGCGCCGAGGCGAAUUCCGUGCUGGAUGGAAAACGACGCCAUCGAAGAGCGUCCCACACGUGAACACGCGGCGAAAGAAAAGAAACUAAAAUAAAAAAAGCCAAUAGAAUAUGAAGAAACCACAGAGAUUCAAGCAACCAGCGAUCAUACGACGAAUCGGCCAGAGGGACAGAAAAGCGAGGCACGCUGGCAGAAGGGGGAGAGAGUUCCAAGAAGCGACGCCAGAAGAAGGUCGGCCACCGGGCCGCAAGUUGAAGACAGGCCGUCGGGUUCCAUACCCAAGCCAGCAGGUCUUCACGCGUUCGGGGCCUCGUGCCAGCCAGUUCCUGUGCGUCGCCACUCUACUCGAUCGCGAACUGCUGCCCGAGGCCGGCGAGCUUCUACGCCCGUGGGCAGAACGAGAGCAGUCAGGCUACGGGCCCGAGUUCUACGCCCAGCUGCCUGGCCGGAACCCCGCCGCCAACUGCUCGUGCCGUCAAGCCGCAUGCCUUCCCUCUCCAAGCCAGAGCUGCCGCUCUCUGGUCGCUCGGUCAACGGCCCAACACCCCGACCUUUGGUGAGACCGACACCACUUCUCUCGUCAUCCUGCGUCCGCUUCUCCACGUCGAGACUACUAUGCGCCCUCACAGUCGUAGUCAGCCUGGAUUAGCGUACUGUUAAUACCAUCCUAGCCCUAAGCGCGUUUCCUGUCGUGAUAUCUCUUGGAGUGUUUAUUUUAUGCCUUUUCAUACUGGUUAUAGUUUUAUUAAAAGAUUGUGUGUUUGUGUUUUUUGA